AUUGAACGCUGGCGGCAGGCUUAACACAUGCAAGUCGAGCGGGGUGAUGGUGCUUGCACUAUCACUUAGCGGCGGACGGGUGAGUAAUGCUUAGGAAUCUGCCUAUUAGUGGGGGACAACAUCUCGAAAGGGAUGCUAAUACCGCCUACGUCCUACGGGAGAAAGCAGGGGAUCACUGUUGACCUUGCGCUGAUUGAUGGGCCUAAGUCGGAUUAGCUAGUUGGUGGGGGAAAGGCCGACCAAGGCGACGAUCUGUAGCGGGUCUGAGAGGAUGAUCCGCCACACUGGGACUGAGACACGGCCCAGACUCCUACGGGAGGCAGCAGUGGGGAAUAUUGGACAAUGGGGGGAACCCUGAUCCAGCCAUGCCGCGUGUAUGAAGAAGGCCUUAUGGUUGUAAAGCACUUUAAGCGAGGAGGAGGCUCUUUUGGUUAAUACCCAAGAUGAGUGGACGUUACUCGCAGAAUAAGCACCGGCUAACUCUGUGCCAGCCGCCGCCGUAA
rnacentral:rRNA from 1 species